UAAUACGGAGGAUGCGAGCGUUAUCCGGAUUUAUUGGGUUUAAAGGGUGCGUAGGUGGUUUAUUAAGUCAGCGGUGAAAGUUUGUGGCUCAACCAUAAAAUUGCCGUUGAAACUGGUUAACUUGAGUAUAUUUGAGGUAGGCGGAAUGCGUGGUGUAGCGGUGAAAUGCAUAGAUAUCACGCAGAACUCCGAUUGCGAAGGCAGCUUACUAAACUAUAACUGACACUGAAGCACGAAAGCGUGGGUAUCAAACAGG
rnacentral:rRNA from 1 species